GGUCAAGCGAACAAGUGCAUGUGGUGGAUGCCUUGGCGAUCACAGGCGAUGAAGGACGCGGUAGCCUGCGAAAAGCUACGGGGAGCUGGCAAACAAGCUUUGAUCCGUAGAUGUCCGAAUGGGGAAACCCACUCCUUUUGGAGUAUCCAUGGCUGAAUACAUAGGCCAUGUGAAGCGAACGCGGUGAACUGAAACAUCUAAGUAACCGCAGGAAAAGAAAUCAACCGAGAUUCCCAAAGUAGUGGCGAGCGAAAUGGGAUGAGCCUUGCACUCUUUAUUUGUAUUGUUAGCCGAACGCUCUGGAAAGUGCGGCCAUAGCAGGUGAUAGCCCUGUAGGCGAAAACAGUAUGAAAGAACUAGGUGUGCGACAAGUAGGGCGGGACACGUGAAAUCCUGUCUGAAGAUGGGGGGACCAUCCUCCAAGGCUAAAUACUCGUGAUCGACCGAUAGUGAACCAGUACCGUGAGGGAAAGGCGAAAAGAACCCCGGGAGGGGAGUGAAAUAGAUCCUGAAACCGCAUGCAUACAAACAGUCGGAGCCUCGUAAGGGGUGACGGCGUACCUUUUGUAUAAUGGGUCAGCGACUUACGUUCAGUAGCAAGCUUAACCGUAUAGGGCAGGCGUAGCGAAAGCGAGUCCGAAUAGGGCGUUCAGUUGCUGGGCGUAGACCCGAAACCAGGUGAUCUAUCCAUGGCCAGGAUGAAGGUGCGGUAACACGUACUGGAGGUCCGAACCCACUAACGUUGAAAAGUUAGGGGAUGAGCUGUGGAUAGGGGUGAAAGGCUAAACAAACCUGGAAAUAGCUGGUUCUCUCCGAAAACUAUUUAGGUAGUGCCUCGUGUCUCACCUUCGGGGGUAGAGCACUGUCAUGGUUGGGGGGUCUAUUGCAGAUUACCCCGCCAUAGCAAACUCCGAAUACCGAAGAGUGCAAUCACGGGAGACAGACAUCGGGUGCUAACGUCCGGUGUCAAGAGGGAAACAACCCAGACCGCCAGCUAAGGUCCCCAAAUAUAGCUAAGUGGGAAACGAAGUGGGAAGGCUAAAACAGUCAGGAGGUUGGCUUAGAAGCAGCCACCCUUUAAAGAAAGCGUAAUAGCUCACUGAUCGAGUCGUCCUGCGCGGAAGAUGUAACGGGGCUAAGCUAUAUACCGAAGCUGCGGAUGCGUGCUUAGCACGCAUGGUAGGAGAGCGUUCCGUAAGCCUGCGAAGGUGCCUUGUAAAGGGUGCUGGAGGUAUCGGAAGUGCGAAUGCUGACAUGAGUAGCGAUAAAGGGGGUGAAAGGCCCCCUCGCCGUAAGCCCAAGGUUUCCUACGCAACGUUCAUCGGCGUAGGGUGAGUCGGCCCCUAAGGCGAGGCAGAAAUGCGUAGCUGAUGGGAAGCAGGUCAAUAUUCCUGCACCAUUGUUAGAUGCGAUGGGGGGACGGAUCGCGGAAGGUUGUCCGGGUGUUGGAAGUCCCGGUCGCUGCAUUGGAGAAGGCGCUUAGGCAAAUCCGGGCGCGGAAUUCAAGGGUGUGGCGCGAGCUCCUUAGGGAGCGAAGCAAUUGGAAGUGGUUCCAAGAAAAGCCUCUAAGCUUCAGUCUAAUGAUGACCGUACCGCAAACCGACACAGGUGGGCGAGAUGAGUAUUCUAAGGCGCUUGAGAGAACUCGGGAGAAGGAACUCGGCAAAUUGGUACCGUAACUUCGGGAUAAGGUACGCCCUUAGCUUGACUGGCUUGCGCCAGAAGGGUGAAGGGGUUGCAAUAAACUGGUGGCUGCGACUGUUUAAUAAAAACACAGCACUCUGCAAACACGAAAGUGGACGUAUAGGGUGUGACGCCUGCCCGGUGCCGGAAGAUUAAAUGAUGGGGUGCAAGCUCUUGAUUGAAGUCCCGGUAAACGGCGGCCGUAACUAUAACGGUCCUAAGGUAGCGAAAUUCCUUGUCGGGUAAGUUCCGACCUGCACGAAUGGCGUAACGAUGGCCACACUGUCUCCUCCCGAGACUCAGCGAAGUUGAAGUGUUUGUGAUGAUGCAAUCUACCCGCGGCUAGACGGAAAGACCCCAUGAACCUUUACUGUAGCUUUGCAUUGGACUUUGAACCGAUCUGUGUAGGAUAGGUGGGAGGCUAUGAAACCGGAACGCUAGUUUCGGUGGAGCCGUCCUGAAAUACCACCCUGGUUUGUUUGAGGUUCUAACCUUGGCCCGUGAUCCGGGUCGGGGACAGUGCAUGGUAGGCAGUUUGACUGGGGCGGUCUCCUCCCAAAGCGUAACGGAGGAGUACGAAGGUACGCUAGGUACGGUCGGAAAUCGUGCUGAUAGUGCAAUGGCAUAAGCGUGCUUAACUGCGAGACCGACAAGUCGAGCAGGUGCGAAAGCAGGUCAUAGUGAUCCGGUGGUUCUGUAUGGAAGGGCCAUCGCUCAACGGAUAAAAGGUACUCUGGGGAUAACAGGCUGAUACCGCCCAAGAGUUCAUAUCGACGGCGGUGUUUGGCACCUCGAUGUCGGCUCAUCUCAUCCUGGGGCUGUAGCCGGUCCCAAGGGUAUGGCUGUUCGCCAUUUAAAGAGGUACGUGAGCUGGGUUUAAAACGUCGUGAGACAGUUUGGUCCCUAUCUGCCGUGGGCGUUGGAUAUUUGAAGGGGGCUGCUCCUAGUACGAGAGGACCGGAGUGGACGAACCUCUGGUGUACCGGUUGUCACGCCAGUGGCAUCGCCGGGUAGCUAUGUUCGGAAGAGAUAACCGCUGAAAGCAUCUAAGCGGGAAACUCGCCUUAAGAUGAGAUAUCCCUGGGGACUAGAUCCCCUUGAAGGGUCGUUCGAGACCAGGACGUUGAUAGGUCAGGUGUGUAAGCGCAGUAAUGCGUUCAGCUAACUGAUACUAAUUGCCCGUAAGGCUUGAUCCU
rnacentral:rRNA from 1 species